rnacentral:rRNA from 1 species
GGGGAAUAUUGGACAAUGGGGGGAACCCUGAUCCAGCCAUGCCGCGUGUGUGAAGACGGCCUUAUGGUUGUAAAGCACUUUAAGCGAGGAGGAGGCUCUUUUCGUUAUUACCCAAGAUGUGUGACCGUUACUCGCAGAUUAUCCACCGGCAACCCCUGUCCCAGCAGCCGCGGUAAUACAGAGGGUGCGAGCGUUAAUCGGAUUUACUGGGCGUAAAGCGUGCGUAGGCGGCUUUUUAAGUCGGAUGUGAAAUCCCCGAGCUUAACUUGGGAAUUGCAUUCGAUACUGGGAAGCUAGAGUAUGGGAGAGGAUGGUAGAAUUCCAGGUGUAGCGGUGAAAUGCGUAGAGAUCUGGAGGAAUACCGAUGGCGAAGGCAGCCAUCUGGCCUAAUACUGACGCUGAGGUACGAAAGCAUGGGGAGCAAACA